UCUGUGUGAGCCAGCAUUUGUGGUGUGAGCAUGUGUGUGGGCAGAGCAGUGUCUCACCACUAUACAGCACGGCUAAUGAACCGACGGACCACCGCCGUAGCUAUCUAAUCUCUCAAUAUACAGGGAUACCAAUACAUCUAACUGUAUGAAGAGACAAGGGUCCCUGUAUUUAAUUGGGCAGUUGUGAGGACUGCCGCUGCAGUCUGCGUACUUACCUUCCACUCGUCGGCAUCACGGUAUACCUGCACGCUGACGGGAAGAUCCGACGACGGCUUGAAAAAAUGGCAGGCAUUCUCUGUGGCAACGACUGAAACCUGCAGCUGGAUUUUUAAAAUAAUAAAGCAGUAUUGGAAGUGUAUACUGAUGGAAUAAAACUCCGGCAAGAAAAAGAUAGAAGCGAGACUAACAGUCUACUGGUCAUAUAAGACCCAGCCACGACCCUCAGCUUGAGUCAACACUGGAUCGAGGAGAUAGAGAUCUCUAAUAUUUCAAUUGAUACAAUUGGAGAGUUGACAGGAUAAAGUUACAAUAGUCAAACACAAAAGCGGAGAGAAAAUGAAGUAUGCAUGAGAUAUAUGUCAGCCCUAGAGACUGGGAAGACCGAAGCAAUAAUGGUUAAGUGUCUUACUUAAGGGCACAAGCGUCACGACCUGCACUUGAUCCCACACUCUGCUGAUCAGGAACACCAGAGCUUAAGUCCGAAGCUUACCGCUCAUCAUCAGCCACAACACGCCACAAGUGAGUAAUAUUAGUUCAGUAUGCAAAGCCUUACAAUGAACUGAAACUUUACAGUACAUACAAGUUUAUGGGCUUAAAAUAUUUUAAAACAUUUUUAGCUUUAAAAACUUGCUUGU